GCGCCAGUAGUGUAGGGGCAUCAUGCAAGAUUCCCAUUCUCGUGACCGGGGUUUUAUUCCCGGCUUGCGCA
rnacentral:tRNA from 1 species